UACGUAGGGAGCAAGCGUUGUCCGGAAUCAUUGGGCGUAAAGCGCGCGUAGGCGGCCUCGUAAGUCCGUUGUGAAAGUCAAAGGCUCAACCUUUGAAAGCCGAUGGAUACUGUGAGGCUAGAGUCCGGAAGAGGCGAGUGGAAUUCCUGGUGUAGCGGUGGAAUGCGCAGAUAUCUGGAGGAACACCGGUGGCGAAGGCGGCAUCCUGGACCGGCAUUGACGCUGAGGCGCGGAAAGCUAGGGGAGCAAACGGG
rnacentral:rRNA from 1 species